rnacentral:lncRNA from 1 species
CCCACUUACCCAAAUCUAAAACUAAGAAAUUCCCAUCCAAAUAACACCUUACCAACCCUACCUAGCCCCUUAAUCCAACAUACCACACCUACACCCUAACUUACAUUUUUCCCGUUUCUCAACAACAUACACUUCAAAAUAUAUAUACAUAACUAUACAUACAACAGCAACAUAAACACUCUCACAAUACUACAAUAGAGAGGCAGAAAAUAAGAUAGGCAAAAAUCAACAGAAACACAAUAAGAAACAGAGGAUAAUUGAGAUGGAAAAAUAGUAAAGAGAGAGGGGGGAAAAUAAGGUGAGAAUAGAGUGAGGAGAAUUAAAGGGG